UACGUAGGGGGCAAGCGUUGUCCGGAUUUAUUGGGCGUAAAGAGCUCGUAGGCGGCUUAGCAAGUCGGGUGUGAAACCUCCAGGCUCAACCUGGAGCUGCCACUCGAUACUGCUAUGGCUUGAGUCCGGUAGGGGACCACGGAAUUCCUGGUGUAGCGGUGAAAUGCGUAGAUAUCUGGAGGAACACCGGUGGCGAAGGCGGCAUUCUGGACCAACACUGACACUGAGGAGCGAAAGCCAGGGGAGCAAACGGGG
rnacentral:rRNA from 1 species